rnacentral:rRNA from 1 species
CGGGUGAGUAACGCGUGGGUGACCUGCCUUCGAGCGGGGGAUAACGUUCCGAAAGGGACGCUAAUACCGCAUGACAUCCUGCCUUUGAAGAGGCGGAAAUCAAAGCUGGGGAUCGCAAGACCUAGCGCUCGAAGAGGGGCCCGCGUCCGAUUAGCUAGUUGGUGAGGUAACGGCUCACCAAGGCAACGAUCGGUAGCCGGCCUGAGAGGGCGGACGGCCACACUGGGACUGAGACACGGCCCAGACUCCUACGGGAGGCAGCAGUGGGGAAUUGUUCGCAAUGGGCGCAAGCCUGACGACGCAACGCCGCGUGGAGGAUGAAGAUCUUCGGGUCGUAAACUCCUUUCGAUCGAGACGAAUUCCUCGGAGGUGAACAAUCCCCGAGGUCGACGGUACCGAGAGAAGAAGCCCCGGCUAACUCCGUGCCAGCAGCCGCGGUAAUACGGGGGGGGCAAGCGUUGUUCGGAAUUACUGGGCGUAAAGGGCUCGUAGGCGGCCAACUAAGUCGGACGUGAAAUCCCUCGGCUUAACCGGGGAAUGGCGUCCGAUACUGGAUGGCUCGAGUUCGGGAGAGGGAUGCGGAAUUCCAGGUGUAGCGGUGAAAUGCGUAGAUAUCUGGAGGAAC